CCGUUUGACCUCUCUCCUAUUUGUGAAUUUGAAAGGAUCAAUAUCCAUAUCUGUUUCUUGAUUUCUGGAAUAAUGCCUAAUUAUAUCUGUUUCUUGAUUUCUGCAACAAUAAAAAUUUGUUUUCUUGAGCUAUACUAGAAAUCCUAAAAGAAUUGCGUCCUGGUAAGAAUAACACGGCAAGGAGGAAGAGAUCCAGGCAGCUUGAGAAAACCUAUUAUCAGUGUUAUGGAUUCCAUUGGGGUGCCUCGAUUGGAGGAGAUCUUUGUUGGUGGAUUAGAUCCAUCUGUCAGAUGAAGCUUUGAAACUCUUAUUUGCCCAAUAUGGAUAAGUUGUGGAUUUGUUCAGCUUAGGAGCAGAGCCUGCACAGAGGAGGCUAUGGUAAUGCUUCACAGCACUGUACUUGGUGAACAAUCAAUUCGUCUUUCAUGGGGGUGGAGUCCUGCUAAUAAGCAGGCAACUUUCUUUGCAACAGGGUUUGUUAGUAUUGAAUUUUUUUAUGCAGUUCAAAUUGUAUGACACGAGUCAUACUCGUUUUACCAGUCUGCAGGAUGGGGCCAACCUCAAGAACCAGAUUCAAAUCAGUGGAAUGGGGCUUAUUAUGGAUAUGGACAAGGGCAUGAUUCUAUCAAUGGUUAUGCUCAACAACCACAAGACCCAAAUGUGUAUGUUAUGGAUCCUAUGCAUAUGGAAACUAUCAGCAACAGGUAAAUUAGUUCUGGAGCAUGGUUGUGAUGAUGCAUUCUAAUCUGUUAUUUAGCAUUACUUUAUACUAAAGCUACUUUGUCUCUUCUUGCAGUUUAUGACUAUACUGCAAUAUUUGAUAGUGUUAAAUAAAAAAUUAGGAUUGUUGCAUUGCA